rnacentral:sRNA from 1 species
UGUGACUGUGAAGCAGCAUCAUGAGAGGGGUAAAACCAAGGAACAGACUGCAUGAGCCCUUGGGCCCCUUCCAGCUCUAAUACUCCAUGGUGAUGGCAGCCCUGCCCUUCUCUGAAGAUCUCAAAAUGCCUGACACCUGUGUCCUUCCGCACUGCCCUGGGAAGGAGAAUAAGGAUGUGGUGGACCUGGUUUCUGCAGACCUGGAGGAGGUAGCUCAGAAAUGUGGCUUGUCUUACAAGACAUGGAGGGCGCACUCAAGUGGGAACCUGGGAGGAUUGCAGCUGCCUCAGGUCCCCGCAGGGAGAUCGUGGAGUGGGGUCAGGAAUGCUCUGAAGAAGGCAGGACUUGGGCAUGGAGGAACAGAUGGACUUUCGCUGAAUGCUUUCGAUGAACGAGGCACUGCGGUCAGCACUUCACGUCUUGAUAAACUGCUUGAUGCUGGUCUCUAUACUGGAGAAGUGACUGAAAUUGUAGGAGGCCCAGGUAGCGGCAAAACUCAGGCAGAAGCUCUCCGGAGGAUCCAGGUGGUGCAUGCGUUUGACAUCUUCCAGAUGCUGGAUGUGCUGCAGGAGCUCCGAGGCACUGUGGCCCAGCAG